CCUACGGGCGGCUGCAGUGGGGAAUAUUGCACAAUGGGCGAAACCCUGAUGCAGCAACGUCGCGUGAGUGAAGAAGUAUUUAGGUAUGUAAAGCUCUAUCAGUAGGGAAGAAGAAAGACGGUACCUGACUACGAAGCCCCGGCUAACUACGUGCCAGCAGCCACGGUAAUAAGUAGGGGGCACGCGUUAUCCGGAUUUACUGGGGGUAAAGGGAGCGUAGACGGCUGUGCAAGUCUGAGGGGAAAGCCCGUGGCUCAACCGCGGAACUGCCUUGGAAACUGUAGAGCUUGAGUAGGGGAGAGGCAGGCGGAAUGCCUAGUGUAGCGGUGAAAUGCGUAGAUAUCAGGAGGAACACCAGUGGCGAAGGCAGCCUGCUGGACAGAAACUGACGUUGAGGCUCGAAAGCGUGGGGAGCGAACAGGAUUAGAUACCCCUGUAGUC
rnacentral:rRNA from 1 species